rnacentral:rRNA from 1 species
GAUGAACGCUGGCGGCGUGCCUAAUACAUGCAAGUCGAGCGAACGGACGAGAAGCUUGCUUCUCUGAUGUUAGCGGCGGACGGGUGAGUAACACGUGGAUAACCUACCUAUAAGACUGGGAUAACUUCGGGAAACCGGAGCUAAUACCGGAUGAUAUUUUGAACCGCAUUGUUCAAAAGUGAAAGACGGUCUUGCUGUCACUUCUAGAUGGAUCCGCGCUGCAUUAGCUAGUUGGUAAGGUAACGGCUUACCAAGGCAACGAGGCAUAUCCGACCUGAGAGGGUGAUAGGCCACACGGGAACUGAGCCACGGUCCAGACUACUGAGGGAGGCAGCAGUAGGGAAUCGGCCGCAAUGGGCGAAAGCCUGACGGAGCAACGCCGCGUGAGUGAUGAAGGUCUUCGGAUCGUAAAACUCUGUUAUGAGGGAAGAACAUAUGUGUAAGUAACUGUGCACAUCGUGACGGUACCUAAUCAGAAAGCCACGGCUAACUACGUG